rnacentral:rRNA from 1 species
UUCGUAGGUGGCCAACUCAGUCAGACGUGAAAUCCCUCAGCUUAACUGGGGAACUGCGUCUGAUACUAGAUGGCUUGAGUGCAGGAGAGGAACGCGGAAUUCCAGGUGUAGCGGUGAAAUGCGUAGAUAUCUGGAGGAACACCGGUGGCGAAGGCGGCGUUCUGGACUGCAACUGACACUGAGGAACGAAAGCCAGGGAGCAAACG